rnacentral:rRNA from 1 species
GAGACCCACGCCCACAGUUGCCAGCGUACUCUCCGGAGUGACGGGUACACUGUGGGGACCGCCGCUGCUAAAGCGGAGGAAGGAAUGGGCAACGGUAGGUCAGUAUGCCCCGAAUGUCCCGGGCUACACGCGGGCUACAAUGGCUGGUACAAUGGGUAUCUACCCCGAAAGGGGAUGGAAAUCUCCUAAAGCCAGUCUUAGUUCGGAUUGAGGGCUGCAACUCGCCCACAUGAAGCUGGAAUCCGUAGUAAUCGAGUCUCAAAAUGGCGCGGUGAAUAU